rfam:Aneurinibacillus migulanus strain DSM 2895 super9, whole genome shotgun sequence.
UUAAGAAAAAGGCAAACUCGUUGAAAGGCGAGGACGCAAAGCCACGGGUCUAAAGCUGCAUGCUGCAGCUAUGACAGCCGGGUUGCCAAA